ACAUGUAUGCUCAGUAGCGGCGAGUGAGCGGCAAGAGCUCAGAUUUGAAAUCUCACCUAGUGUGCGAGUUGUAAAUUGCAGGUUGGAGUCUCGGGUUAGACGUGUGUGCAAGUCCCUUGGAACAGGGUGCCACUGAGGGUGAGAGCCCCGUAGCGUGCAUGUCGACACCUGUGAGGCCCUUCUGACGAGUCGAGUUGUUUGGGAAUGCAGCUCUAAGUGGGUGGUAAAUUCCAUCUAAGGCUAAAUAUUGGCGAGAGACCGAUAGCGAACAAGUACUGUGAAGGAAAGAUGAAAAGCACUUUGAAAAGAGAGUGAAACAGCACGUGAAAUUGUUGAAAGGGAAGGGUAUUGGGCUCGACAUGGGAUUUACGCAUCGUUGCCUCUCGUGGGCGGCGCUCUGGGUUUUUCCUGGGCCAGCAUCGGUUUUCGUUGCAGGAUAAGGACAAUUGGAAUGUGGCUCCUCGGAGUGUUAUAGCCUUUUGUAGAUGCUGCGUAUGGGGACCGAGGGCUGCGGCGGACUCGUUUCGUCUCGGAUGCUGGCACAACGGCGCAAUACCGCCCGUCUUGAA
rnacentral:rRNA from 1 species